UCUAAUACCGGAUAGGACCACGGGAUUCAUGUCCUGUGGUGGAAAGCUUUUGCGGUGUGGGAUGAGCCCGCGGCCUAUCAGCUUGUUGGUGGGGUAACGGCCUACCAAGGCGACGACGGGUAGCCGGCCUGAGAGGGUGUCCGGCCACACUGGGACUGAGAUACGGCCCAGACUCCUACGGGAGGCAGCAGUGGGGAAUAUUGCACAAUGGGCGCAAGCCUGAUGCAGCGACGCCGCGUGGGGGAUGACGGCCUUCGGGUUGUAAACCUCUUUCACCAUCGACGAAGGUUCGGGUUUUCUCGGAUUGACGGUAGGUGGAGAAGAAGCACCGGCCAACUACGUGCCAGCAGCCGCGGUAAUACGUAGGGUGCGAGCGUUGUCCGGAAUUACUGGGCGUAAAGAGCUCGUAGGUGGUUUGUCGCGUUGUUCGUGAAAUCUCACGGCUUAACUGUGAGCGUGCGGGCGAUACGGGCAGACUAGAGUACUGCAGGGGAGACUGGAAUUCCUGGUGUAGCGGUGGAAUGCGCAGAUAUCAGGAGGAACACCGGUGGCGAAGGCGGGUCUCUGGGCAGUAACUGACGCUGAGGAGCGAAAGCGUGGGGAGCGAACAGGAUUAGAUACCCUGGUAGUCCACGCCGUAAACGGUGGGUACUAGGUGUGGGUUUCCUUCCUUGGGAUCCGUGCCGUAGCUAACGCAUUAAGUACCCCGCCUGGGGAGUACGGCCGCAAGGCUAAAACUCAAAGGAAUUGACGGGGGCCCGCACAAGCGGCGGACGCAUGUGGAUUAAUUCGAUGCAAGCGCGAAGAACC
rnacentral:rRNA from 1 species